rnacentral:rRNA from 1 species
GACGAACGCUGGCGGCGUGCCUAAUACAUGCAAGUAGAACGCACAGUUUAUACCGUAGCUUGCUACACCAUAGACUGUGAGUUGCGAACGGGUGAGUAACGCGUAGGUAACCUGCCUGGUAGCGGGGGAUAACUAUUGGAAACGAUAGCUAAUACCGCAUAAUAUUAAUUAUUGCAUGAUAAUUAAUUGAAAGGUGCAAUUGCACCACUACCAGAUGGACCUGCGUUGUAUUAGCUAGUAGGUGAGGUAACGGCUCAACUAGGCGACGAUACAUAGCCGACCUGAGAGGGUGGUCGGCCACACUGGGACUGAGACACGGCCCAGACUCCUACGGGAGGCAGCCGUAGGGAAUCUUCGGCAAUGGACGAAAGUCUGACCGAGCAACGCCGCGGGAGUGAAGAAGGUUUUCGGGUCGUAAAGCUCUGUUGUAAGAGAAGAACGGGUGUGAGAGUGGAAAGUUCACACUGUGACGGUAUCUUACCAGAAAGGGACGGCUAACUACGUG